GAAUAUUGCGCAAUGGGGGAAACCCUGUCGCAGCGACGUCGCGUGAAGGAAGAAGGCCUUCGGUGUGUAAACUUCUUUGAUCGGGGACGAAGGAAGACGGUACCUGAGGAACAAGCAACGGCUAACGACGUGCCAGCAGCCGCGGUAAUACGUAGGUGGUGAGCGUUGUCAGGACUUACUGGGCGUAACUGGCGUGUAGGCGGGGGGACAAGUCAGAUGUGAAAUACUGCAGCUUAACUGCGGGGCUGCAUCUGAAACUGUUCUUCUUGAGUGUCGGAGAGGAAAGUGGAAUUCCCAGUGUAGCGGUGAAAUGCGUAGAGAUUGGGAGGAACACCAGUGGCGAAGGCGGCUUUCUGGACGACAACUGACGCUGGGGCGCGAAAGCGUGGGGAGCAAACA
rnacentral:rRNA from 1 species